UCCGGUUUGUCACCGGCAGUCGCUCUAGAGUGCCCACCAUUACGUGCUGGCAACUAGACCUAAGGGUUGCGCUCGUUGCGGGACUUAACCCAACAUCUCACGACACGAGCUGACGACAACCAUGCACCACCUGUCUCCCCUGUCCCGAAGGAACGCUCCAUCUCUGGAGCCGUCAGGGGGAUGUCAAGACCUGGUAAGGUUCUUCGCGUUGCUUCGAAUUAAACCACAUACUCCACUGCUUGUGCGGGUCCCCGUCAAUUCCUUUGAGUUUCAGUCUUGCGACCGUACUCCCCAGGCGGAAUGCUUAAUGUGUUUACUUCGGCACCAAGGGUAUCGAAACCCCUAACACCUAGCAUUCAUCGUUUACGGCGUGGACUAC
rnacentral:misc_RNA from 1 species